rnacentral:SRP_RNA from 1 species
GCUGGGCAUGGUGGUGUGUGCCAGUAGUUCCAGCUACUUGGGAGGCUGAGGGAGGGGAAUCACUUGAGGCCAGGAGUUCAAGGCUGCCGUGAGCCAUGAUGGUGCCACUGCACUCUAGCCUGGACAACAGAGUGAGAUCCUGUCUCUA